rnacentral:rRNA from 1 species
GCCAGUCGAGCGGACAGAAGGGAGCUUGCUCCCGGAUGUAGCGGCGGAACGGUGAGUAACACGUGGGUAACUGCCUGUAAGACUGGGAUAACUCCGGGAAACCGGAGCUAAUACCGGAUAGUUCCCUGAACCGCAUGGUUCAAGGAUGAAAGACGGUUUCGGCUGUCACUUACAGAUGGACCCGCGGCGCAUAGCUAGUUGGUGAGGUAACGGCUCACCAAGGCGACGAUGCGUAGCCGACCUGAGAGGGUGAUCGGCCACACUGGGACUGAGACACGGCCCAGACUCCUACGGGAGGCAGCAGUAGGGAAUCUUCCGCAAUGGACGAAAGUCUGACGGAGCAACGCCGCGUGAGUGAUGAAGGUUUCGGAUCGUAAAGCUCUGUUGUUAGGGAAGAACAAGUGCAAGAGUAACUGCUUGCACCUUGACGGUACCUAACCAGAAAGCCACGGCUAACUACGUGCCAGCAGCCGCGGUAAUACGUAGGUGGCAAGCGUUGUCCGGAAUUAUUGGGCGUAAAGGGCUCGCAGGCGGUUUCUUAAGUCUGAUGUGAAAGCCCCCGGCUCAACCGGGGAGGGUCAUUGGAAACUGGGAAACUUGAGUGCAGAAGAGGAGAGUGGAAUUCCACGUGUAGCGGUGAAAUGCGUAGAGAUGUGGAGGAACACCAGUGGCGAAGGCGACUCUCUGGUCUGUAACUGACGCUGAGGAGCGAAAGCGUGGGGAGCGAACAGGAUUAGAUACCCUGGUAGUCCACGCCGUAAACGAUGAGUGCUAAGUGUUAGGGGGUUUCCGCCCCUUAGUGCUGCAGCUAACGCAUUAAGCACUCCGCCUGGGGAGUACGGUCGCAAGACUGAAACUCAAAGGAAUUGACGGGGGCCCGCACAAGCGGUGGAGCAUGUGGUUUAAUUCGAAGCAACGCGAAGAACCUUACCAGGUCUUGACAUCCUCUGACAACCCUAGAGAUAGGGCUUUCCCUUCGGGGACAGAGUG